rnacentral:rRNA from 1 species
CCCUUAGAUGUUCUGGGCCGCACGCGCGCUACACUGACGAAUGCAACGAGCUUAUAACCUUGGCCGAAAGGUCUGGGUAAUCUCCAAAUUUCGUCGUGAUGGGGAUAGAUUAUUGCAAUUAUUAAUCUUCAACGAGGAAUGCCUAGUAAGCGCAAGUCAUCAGCUUGCGUUGAUUACGUCCCUGCCCUUUGUACACACCGCCCGUCGCUCCUACCGAUUGAAUGGUCCGGUGAAAUCUUCGGAUCUGAGAGAUGUCUGAUUAAUUUCGGACGCCUUUUGGAAAAGUUGUUUAAACCUUACCAUUUAGAGGAAGGUGAANUCGUAACA